UACGAAGGGGGCUAGCGUUGCUCGGAAUGACUGGGCGUAAAGGGCGCGUAGGCGGUUUGUACAGUCAGGUGUGAAAUUCCCGGGCUCAACCUGGGGGCUGCACUUGAUACGUAUGGACUGGAGUGGGGAAGAGGGUCGUGGAAUUCCCAGUGUAGAGGUGAAAUUCGUAGAUAUUGGGAAGAACACCGGUGGCGAAGGCGGCGACCUGGUCCUUGACUGACGCUGAGGCGCGAAAGCGUGGGGAGCAUACAGG
rnacentral:rRNA from 1 species